UUUCCUGCGAAGCACACCAUUGGCUGAAGCCACGCAGAUCCUCAGAGUGCUUAGCGUUGCGGAAGCGGGCGGAGCUUCCGCUCCUCUAGUCUCGAGAAAAGGCGUAUUCGCGCGAGGAGGCAAGGUUGAAGGCGGAAUUCCGGGGCGGGAAUUCAGCCGCCCCUGGCGGUCCACGGGUUUGGAACGUCUGGAGUUUUCCUAUUGGGGGUUAGCGAGGUAGACCUUCGGGGGCGAGCCUUUUAGCAAGGAAACAAGACGGACAUGCGCUGUGAGGCAGAAGCGCUUCUGAAGGCUGUUCAUGGCCGCGAAAUUGCGAGUGAUUUUCUCUUCAGUGAAAUCGCCGAUGUACAGCCUGCUGCUUUGCCGCUCUCGUGUAGAUUCCAGCCUGGAGAGUGGACUGUUGAAUAAUUGCUUGGUCCUUGAACUGCAGUUUCUGCCCCCAUAAAUGUUGAUGUUUCUUCCAGGACCCUAACUUUUGCCCUUCUCGAAGCACCUUAUCCUUUGAACUCAAGCAAGUGUCACGAUUUCUUAGAUGUUUUACUUCCCACAUAAAUACAUUCCCUUGUUUUUUUUGUUUUUUGUUUUAAGACGGUCUCGGUGUGUAGUGCAGGUUGGCCUUGAACUCAGAAUCCUCCUGCCUCAGUCUCCCGGAUGCUGGGAUUACACGCCUGCGCCACCAUGUUCUGAUUUCUGAAUUUUCAUACAGAUUAACUGUUGAACAGUUGCCUAGAGCAGAAACUUUGGAAUCAUCUAAGAUUUUUUUUUUUUUCACUCUUAAAACCCUUAUGACUAGGUUUCUUUUAUAGAAUAAAAUAAAUACCUCUUAACUCUUAUCUCUUUCAUCAUCAUUCUCAUCAUGCCCUCGUGGUUAGCUGGGGCAUGCUUCUUCUCUAGCUUUUCGAUGAGAAAAGAUGAUGAGAUUAUAGAGGAACAAGGGGACAAAAGCAUGCAUGGCCUUGUAGGACUUUGAAUUUGCUCUUUGACUAAAAUGGGAAAUAGGGAUUUUGUUUGUGUAUAUGGUGCUGGAGAUUAAACCCAGCACCUUGUGCAUGCCAAGCAGGCACUCUCCCAUUUGAGCUACAUCCCCAGGACAGGGUUUUGAGAGAAGUAGCACAAAUUUUAAAAUGAUUCAUUCUCAGUAAGGAGAAUGGGUUCGUUUAAGGGCUGGUCAUCAGGUUUCUGUGGUGGUAAAAAAAGAGUCAGUGAUCUUUCCUUGUCCUAGUUUUGCUUUUAUUUCUUAAACUGCUACCAUGGUAGGCAUUAUGCUAUAUCUGGUAGUAUAUUAGAAAAAGUUAAUUUUGUAUAAACCUGAAUUUGCCUACCCAAAUUGAAGAAUAAUUCAGUAUGGAAGGAGGAAUUUAUUUAUUAGAAAUAAGCUCUUGGUAGAUACUAAGAGGGAAAAGAAGUCCAACAUGCUUAUUUUGUCAUGACCUUCUAUAGGUGUGUGUGUGGUGGGAGGUGUUUCAAAGUUAAUGAGUUCAAAGAAUUAAAAAACAGACUGUGUCUACCGGUAGGGAAGAGCUGUUAACUUAGCAUACUCUGUAUAGUAAGUUUCUUUCCUGGGGAGAAAAGCCCCUCCUCAGUUCUUUUCCUAACCUUUUAUCCCUUUUUCUUAAGUUUUCUUUCAUGUUUCUAAGCUUAACUGGCUGAUUAAUCGCCUGCUUAAAUCAGCUCCUUUGGUUGCUUGAAUUAAUUAUUUUAUCUGACCCUAUAUUGAAAGUUGCUCUGCCUACUCAUAAUAACUCCUAUGUUAGGAAGACUGACAUAGUUUCCAUUUUCAUAGGGUUUAUAUUUUAAUAAGGGGAAGAUAGAAAAAACGUAAAGUAACAUGGUGUUAAAUUGCCUAGACACAUCAGAAAUGCUCAGGGUGGACAGAGGUGGAGAAGUGUCACUACCUACAUAACCUUAAGGUUUGGAUUAGAUCCUUGCUCAGCUCUUCACAUAGACAUGUUAAUAACUUAAGGAGUAUUUUCUGCAAUAAUUUGUUAGCCUUAAAUUUACUUGGCCUAGAUCAUUCCUUUACUAGAUAGGAUACCAAGAUAAAGGGGCUGGGGAUUUAGCUCAGCAGCACAGUGCCUACCUGGCAAGCACGAGGUUGUGAGUUCGAUUCCCAGUACUGGACAAAAGAAAAAAAAAUAUUUAAAAGUAAUUUGCAGGAUUUAUAAUGCACAGCUUUCACAGCAUCAAUUUCCAGACCUCCUGCAGCAAACUGCCUACUGUUUCUCCAGCCAUUGUUCUAAAUCUGUAGUCACCUUGGGUUUCAGGGAAAAGCAUUGACUUGCAGAUCAUACAUGAUACCACCUCCCCUAAAGAGGUACAGUUGCCCCAUCGGGGAACCAAGGUACCUGCUUCCCAAGCAAGACCAAUCAUCUCAUGGGAACUAAUUGUUCUUCCAGCUGUAAAGUUCCCUCCAGAGCUACAAAGCCAGAACUGAGAUGACAAACCCUGGCCCACCUUAGCAAAUUCAUGAGGGCUUGCCGGUGUACUUUGUGAGGUACUAGUCUGAACUUCAUCAGUGAGCCCCUUCCAGUUGCUCAAGCUAGAUAGAGUUCAUUAUUCACCUCUUAUUAACACAUCCUGAAAUUCUUUUCUGUGACAAGAGCUCAGAAAACUACUCUGGGGUGACAGAACCGUUGACCCAAGAAUCAGGAUGGAGUGAGUGAACAAAUGAAGGUGAGGCUUGAGGGACCAUUCCAGGCACAAGGAAAUGUGUGCUAAGGCGCUAACUUGAGUUCUUUCUUUUCCAGUAACUGAAUAGUGGUGAUGAAACCCUGAAAGCAAUGGGAAGGAGACAAAGUGAACACAUAGUUACUGGUUUAGCUGUCAGGUGUAGCUGCAAGUAAUGAACCUUUAAGCAGGGAGACAACCUGAUCCUAUACUUUUUUUUCUUUUUCUGGUGUUGGAGAUCGAAUUGAGGGCUUUAGACUUGCUAGGCAACUGCUCUGCCACUGAAUACAUCCCUAGCUGCUAAUAAACAGUUUUAAAAGGUUACCUAUAGUGAGAUGACUUCAAGAGGAACAAAGUACAGCUGAGUAGUUAAAUUAAGAGGCUGUUGAACAUGAACAAGAAAUGGUAGUAGCUCGGUCCAGUGUGGUAGCAGAGGGAGUGGUGAGAUUUUAGAUACCUAGGUGGUAGAAAUGCUAGGGUUUGCUGAUCAAUGGUUAUGCAAGUUAGGAACAUAGGAAUCUAGCUAUGAAGAGUGACCUGAGUUUGAAUUUCUAGCUUGAAUGGCUGGCUUGAGCAUUUAGAUGGAUGGUAAGGUAAAAGCCAUUAUUUGAGUUGCAGUUGACCUAAAAGGAAAAAAAAAAAACUACUUCCCCCAACAAAAUAAAUGUUAUAUAGGUCUAAUAUUCUAGGAUUAUUGAAAGACUAUAGUACCAGGCAAAUAAAAACUGGCUUUUUUUCUAAGA